rnacentral:rRNA from 1 species
UACGGAGGGGGCGAGCGUUGUCCGAAGUUACUGGGCGUAAAGCGCGCGUAGGCGGGUUGGCAAGUCCGCUGUGAAAGCCCGGCGCUUAACGCCGGAGGGUCGGUGGAUACUGCCAGUCUUGGAAGGUGCUAGGGGAAGAUGGAAUUACCAGUGUAGCGGUGAAAUGCGUAGAUAUCAGGAGGAACACCGAUGGCGAAGGCAGAUCUCUGGGCCGUUACUGACGCUGGAGGAGCGAAAGCGUGGGGAGCGAACAGG